rnacentral:rRNA from 1 species
GCAGGCUGCAACCCGCCUGUAUGAAGUUGGAAUCGCUAGUAAUCGCGGAUCAGCAUGCCGCGGUGAAUACGUUCCCGGGCCUUGUACACACCGCCCGUCACACCAUGAGAGUCGGGAACACCCGAAGUCCGUAGUCUAACCGCAAGGGGACGCGGCCGAAGGUGGGUUCGAUAAUUGGGGUGAAGUCGUAACAAGGUAAC